AGCAAGGUCAGCUAAAUAAGCUUUUGGGCCCAUACCCCAAACAUGUUCAUUAAAAUCCUUCCCUUGCUA
rnacentral:tRNA from 1 species